rnacentral:rRNA from 1 species
UGGGGAAUCUUGCGCAAUGGGGGAAACCCUGACGCAGCGACGCCGCGUGCGGGAUGAAGGCCUUCGGGUUGUAAACCGCUUUCAGCAGGGACGAGGCCUUAUGGUGACGGUACCUGCAGAAGAAGCUCCGGCUAAAUACGUGCCAGCAGCCGCGGUAAUAAGUAUGGAGCAAGCGUUAUCCGGAUUCAUUGGGCGUAAAGCGCUCGUAGGCGGUCUGUUAGGUCGGCAAGUUAAAUCCGGGGGCUCAACCCCCGUCCGCUUCCGAUACCGGCAGACUUGAGUUUGGUAGGGGAAUGUGGAAUUCCUAGUGUAGCGGUGGAAUGCGCAGAUAUUAGGAAGAACACCGGUGGCGAAGGCGGCCUUCUGGGCCAUAACUGACGCUGAGGAGCGAAAGCUAGGGGAGGGAACAGG